CGUGUAGGCGGGAGCGUGAGUCGGUCGUGAAAGCCUUCGGCUCAACCGAAGAAGGGCGGCCGAUACUGCGUUCCUUGAGGGGUGGAGAGGAGACUGGAAUUCCCGGUGUAGCGGUGAAAUGUGUAGAUAUCGGGAGGAACACCGGUGGCGAAGGCGGGUCUCUGGCCACACCCUGACGCUGAGGCGCGAAAGCGUGGGGAGCAAACGGGAUUAGAUACCCCGGUAGUCCACGCGGUAAACGAUGACGACUAGGUGUGGGGGGGUUCAGUCCCUUCCGUGCCGCAGCUAACGCAUUAAGUCGUCCGCCUGGGGAGUACGGCCGCAAGGUUGAA
rnacentral:rRNA from 1 species